GCCUACGGGACGCAGCAGUGAGGAAUAUUGGUCAAUGGUCGGGAGACUGAACCAGCCAAGCCGCGUGAGGGAUGAAGGUACAGAGUAUCGUAAACCUCUUUUGUCAGGGAACAAAGGCGGGGACGUGUCCCCGGAUGAGUGUACCUGAAGAAAAAGCAUCGGCUAACUCCGUGCCAGCAGCCGCGGUAAUACGGAGGAUGCGAGCGUUAUCCGGAUUUAUUGGGUUUAAAGGGUGCGCAGGCGGUCUGUUAAGUCAGCGGUCAAAGCCCGGGGCUCAACCCCGGCCCGCCGGUGAAACCGGCAGU
rnacentral:rRNA from 1 species